UACGGAGGGUGCAAGCGUUGUUCGGAAUUAUUGGGCGUAAAGGGUAGGUAGGUGGUCUCAUUUGUCUGGGGUGAAAGCCUUGAGCUUAACUCGAGAAGUGCCCCAGAAACGGUGAGACUGGAGUCCUGGAGAGGGUCGUGGAAUUCCCGGUGUAGCGGUGAAAUGCGUAGAGAUCGGGAGGAACACCAGAGGCGAAGGCGGCGACCUGGACAGGCACUGACACUCAAAUACGAAAGCGUGGGGAGCAAACAGG
rnacentral:rRNA from 1 species